rnacentral:rRNA from 1 species
CCUACGGGGGGCUGCAGUGAGGAAUAUUGGUCAAUGGGCGCGAGCCUGAACCAGCCAAGUCGCGUGAGGGAAGACGGUCCUAUGGAUUGUAAACCUCUUUUGUCGGGGAGCAAAAGACGCCACGCGUGGCGUUCCGAGAGUACCCGAAGAAAAAGCAUCGGCUAACUCCGUGCUAGCAGACGCGGUAAUACGGAGGAUGCGAGCGUUAUCCGGAUUUAGUGGGUUUAACGGGUGCGCAGGCGGAAGAUCAAGUCAGCGGUAAAAUUGAGAGGCUCAACCUCUUCGAGCCGUUGAAACUGGUUUUCUUGAGUGAGUGAGAAGUAUGCGGAAUGCGUGGUGUAGCGGUGAAAUGCAUAGAUAUCACGCAGAACUCCGAUUGCGAAGGCAGCAUACCGGCGCUCAACUGACGCUCAUGCACGAAAGUGUGGGUAUCGAACAGGAUUAGAUACCCUUGUAGUC